GAGAUUUUUCAAGACCUUGCUCCACUGCUGUGGCACUCCUUUGGCACUGUUGCUGCACUGCUCCAGCUCACAUCCCACUGUACCUGUACCCGUUCCUGAAUACUACCAGCAAGACAAGACCUUUUGAGUACUUGAGGCUUACCAGCUUGGGUGUUAUUGGUGCUCUUGUGAAGGUAAAUUAAAACUAGAUACUUAUGCAAACUAGGAAUGGAUGGUCCAUAUAGAUUUUUGCUUUAAAUGGUGAGAGGGUUGAACCAGAGGGGAAAACAGUGAUGGGGAUUGGCUGUAUUCUUUCUUUUUUUUGUAGACUAUAUCUUGUUCUUUUGGUAUUCUCAUUCCAGUAAUCCAGUCAUUUUAAUCAAAUGGACUGGUUGGGAUUGGAUCCCAGGAAUCUCAACAGGAACUGUUAUUUUUGAAGCAAACAGGCUAAUGAUUUGUUAGAAAUUAUAUUGUUUCUUCUUUUGGAUA